CACUACUGUAGCAUUUCGCUCAAACCCGCCCUUCCAUGUGCCGGGACCACUUUGCCUCCUCCUCUCUGGUGGCAUUUAAACUCCCAUUUAAGGAAACAUCAUGUUUUAGGAAUUUAGGUUUGUCCACAGUAGUGUAAAAGUGAUCAGCUACUCUUCCCAGUCUGUGUGUGUGUGUGUAUACGUGUACACACAUACAAAGGUGCUCUGUGAUGUAAAAUGCUUGCAUGGAUGACCUGCUUCCUGUUUUGCUCUGUGAGGUGGGAAAGGAAGACAAGCAAGCAGGUGUGUAAUCAGGAAGGUGAGCAGUGCAAGAAGCCUCUCAGGAAGUGAAGCUGGGGCACUAGCAGGUAGAAGGAGUCAGCCCACUGGGACUAGAGAAUGGCUUCUCUCCAUCUGCUCUCUAAUCCCAGGGACAAGCAUUCUUCCUAGUUUCUUACUUCUGAGCAGCAACACUGCCUUCUUCAGGUCUUCACUUGUCUUUCAGAGCCUUCCAGGCCUCUCCAAAAGAGCCAGGAGAAGGUCUGAUUAAAUCAGUUGUCAUCAUUCAAUGAAGCACAACAUUUCUGCAGAGAACAGUUCACCAAGACGUUCUCAGAGGUGCUGCUAAUCUAUGUGCACAAGGUUGUUACAAGAUAAAUGAUUAUGAGUCUAGAAUAGUAAUACUGCCUUAUACAUGCAUUUUUCUUUAAAUAUUUACAAAGAAUUUUUACAGACAUUUUUCUAAUUAAAUUUGCAUAACACACUCUCUGAAAGCAGAAAAAGUGAAGUAGCUAAAAAAAAAAAAAAAACAGAAAGAAAAACUAGAUAAUGAGGCCAAAUAAAAAUUGCCAAGUAGCAAAAUAAAUUGAUUCUCACCUUGAAUUUUUCAUGGAACCUAUAAGCUAUAGAACCAGUUCUUUUGUCUAAGCACAAUACCAAAGGGAAUAUUUCUUUUGUUGACUCCAAUAUAUAUUGUAAAGAGUUGAGCCAAAAGACAUACAAAUAUUUUAUUUAAACAAUAUGAGACUCAGGAUUUAGUAAGGGUUGCCCAGGUACUUUGGACUAAUUCUCCUACUGAAAACAAAUAGAAAAGCUGGGGAAUUGUAAUAGAACUAAAGACACCAAAAUGCUAUCCAGUCAGUCAAGCAUUGUGUUUCCAAGAUCCAGAAGAAUGAAAAAGGCCCAGAAAGAUAACUAAUCGGUAAAGUCAGAUUUGCCCUAAAUUUGUCAGGUCAUUUUAGGAAGAAUUGGUUGAGAGAAUAAACAGAGAAUUUACAGAUUUAUGGAUACAGGGGACAAAAGUUGGAGUUCAAGGCCCAACAAAGAGAAUAACUAGUAACAUCUCCCUCCAGAUUCUUGUUGGAACCUUGAAAGUCCAACCUGGGAGUAAGAAUUAACCAGACAGAGACGGGCCCUCACUGAAACAGAAACCCAGC
rnacentral:lncRNA from 1 species